GGCACCAACGCCGUCUGAUCUGUGCGCCGCCGCCUUGGCUUCUCCGAUACGGCCGCCGCCGGUCGACUUGGAUAUACGGGGUAGAGCGAGCAGACCAGACAGCCGCCCACCUCGCUGCCGCCAACUUGUUUGACUUCCUCGUCAACUGGUUGGACGAUUUCUUCAUGGAUCAGGGCGAUCUCCAUCGCAGGAUCAGUAGAAGUGUUCUGAAGAUAAGAAUCGAUGACUUAUUUUUGCACGGUUAUGUUGCUGAUUGUGACGCACACUCCGCUACUGUAGUAGCCUGCUCGAAAAAUAUUCCGGUGUCAUUGGUGAAUUGCACGGUCACAUUGGUUUUCCCUGACGGAAGAAAAUUUUCCCCUAAUAAGCACGAUAUCAAAAUAUGGGAUAAUGUUGCUUCAAUACAAUGUUAUUUUCCUGGAGAUGUGCUUAAUACAAAUCUCGUGCAGUCACUUGAAGUAUGCAGGACACCACUUUUAAUGUCUGAAAACAUUUAUACCUAUAGUGCAUACGAAGGUGACUACACAGGCAUCAUAACCCCUGGUUAUCUCAUUUCAAUACACGAGAACUAUUUCCACCACAACAGUUGUGCAAAUAUAUAUUCAGGAGAUGGAGCAUUGGUCAUUAACAAAAAUGGAGAAUUGGUUGGACUGUGUUGUGACUUUAACCGUUACCUAAUUUCAAUGGAUGUGCCUGCAAUCUUAGAAGUGCUUGAGAAUCAGCAAUAGUCAGUCAAAGAUUUUUGUGGCCAUCUGAUCCGCAUCGGACGCAUGUGGGCCAAGCUUUGGGAAUUUUGCAAAAAGACGCCCGUCACUGCGUCCACAUUUACACUUAACCCCUUAGUCUCUCUCUCUCUCUCUCUCUCUCUCUCUCUCUCUCCAACCGCCCACCUGACCCAACCAUGGAAUCACCGAUCUGCCGCUCCGAUGCCGGCGCCGUUCACCGCCAGUGCCUCUCCUGCCACCUCCUCCGCCGCAUCACCUCGCCACGCACCACCGCCACCACCUCCCAUUCCUCCUCACCGUUUCCUCCGCCCGCUCCCGUCUGUGGUGGCGCUGCCACCCACUAUUUAUUCCCCUUCCCAGCUGAUGUGCGUCACAAGAAGGUCAAAUCCGAACCUCUCCUCGAGAAACUCCAUGCCGUCUGCUGCUGGAGAGCCACCAACGAUCUCCACACCCACCCUCCCCUCCCACCACACAAGUGUUGACAUUGUUCCUUCCCCACCGUCCUCGUCAUCCCUCAUUCAGCAUCGCCAUGACAGCUCGUCUCUCCAAGUUCAUCUACCUCUCCACACCCAACCCCCUUGUCCAUCCGGGAUCACGCCGCUGCUGUCUGCCUUGAAAGGCCACCGUGGCCGUUCUUUGCUCCCCCACCCUUUCCUCCGUCUGAGCACUGCUGUCACCACUCUUCUCCGUGGCGGCGUUUCCUUGAAGGUCGCCGUCCACAGACGAAGGUCGUCAUCCAUGGUCUCCGCCACCUCCAGGAAGGACAUUGCUGCUGUUUCUCUGCAAGCGUCCACUGAUCAGAGAGGAAUGUCAGCAAGGGGGUAGCAGCAGUUGGUAGGCUCAGCCUAGGACUUGGAAACUGUAAGUUCAUUGGUCCGAUACCAUGGUAUUAGAUAUCCUUCUGCUAGAAUAGCUUAUUAAAAUGAUUUGGCAUGACUUAUACUCCCUCUGUCCCAAAAUAUAAGAACGUUUUUAACACUACACUAGUGUCAAAAACGUUCUUAUAUUAUGGGAUAGAGGGAGUAUUUCUUUAGUUGUAUUAGUGGGCAACCAUCAUGGGCAGAGUAAGGUUGUUGGAAGUUACUGAUAUUUGUGUUGUUUGCCUGACGAGGUUUCGAGGGAGGAAUUGUUGUAUGAACCGUGUAUUUAUGUACUACAUUUGUUCUUUCUUAUUUAUGGACCCAAGUUUUCCUUUCAUUCACUGUUGGUGGUGAACUGGUGAUGGUGUGUUUGCCUCUGCAUUUCUAUGAGAUUUUAUUUUUGGUUUUCAGAAAACCAGUGAGUAGAACAAAACAGAUUCAACUAUCAGAGAGGUAGAAGUUCUGUUUACUUCUCCAAGGAGCGGUUUGCUUUUCUAACUGACCAAUAAACGUCAUGAGCCAAAUGCCUGGAGUAAUGAGUAUGAUGCCUCAGCUGGGAGUUUCGGUGAAUGAAAAUCUUGCUAUCUACUUGCUCCCGGAUCAUACAGUGGUAAUAAAUGGACUGUCCAUCGCGCUGUUCGCUGCGUCUGAAAUCCUUCCAUGCGAGUUGAUUGCCACCUCUUCACCCUUAUUCGUGUUUUUUUUACGUCUCCACAAGGUUCACCAUGUAGCCUAAUUGAGUCUCGGAGCAAUUAUAUUAUAUCUUAAUGAACUGCAGUUCAUGGUAGUAGUUGAUUAUAUGCACGAUAGGAAGCUCGGAUCCUAAAUUUAGUCGAUGAUGUUUCUAUAUACUACCUAUUUGUC